UACGGGGGGAGCAAGCGUUGUUCGGAUUUACUGGGCGUAAAGGGCGCGUAGGCGGCCACCGCAAGUCGACUGUGAAAUCUCCGGGCUUAACCCGGAAAGGUCAGCCGAUACUGCGGGGCUAGAGUGCAGAAGGGGCAACUGGAAUUCUCGGUGUAGCGGUGAAAUGCGUAGAUAUCGAGAGGAACACCUGCGGCGAAGGCGACUUUCUGGACAGAUACUGACACUGAGGCACGAAAGCGUGGGGAGCAAACAGG
rnacentral:rRNA from 1 species